AUUGAACGCUGGCGGCAGGCUUAACACAUGCAAGUCGAGCGAGCGGCGGACGGGUGAGUAAUGUCUGGGAAACUGCCUGAUGGAGGGGGAUAAAUACUGGAAACGGUAGCUAAUACCGUAUAUCAUUAGAUGUGCCCUGAUGGGUAUAGCUAGUAGGUGGGGUAAUGGUUCACCUAGGCGACGAUCCCUAGCUGGUCUGAGAGGUGGACCAGCCAGACUGGAACGGAGACACGGACCAGACUCCUACGGGAGGCAGCAGUGGGGAAUAUUGCACAAUGGGCGCGAGCCUGAUGCAGCCAUGCGGCGGGUAUGAAGAAGGCCUUCGGGUUGUAAAGCACUUUCAGCGAGGAGGCGUUACUCGCAGAAGAAGCAACGGCUAACUCCGUGCCAGCAGCCGCGGUAAUUC
rnacentral:rRNA from 1 species